CUGCGACACUAAUAGCAAUCAUUAAUCGUCGUAAAAAUGUUAUCUCUCUUCGCUUUUCCGUCCAUGUUUAUAAGAAAAUUCUAAUAACUUUCGAACGUGUGCGGUUUUCAACAAUGGAUUCAUGGUUGAUUCACGCUAAAUAGCUUUGGAAUGUUUGAUUUCUGUAAACAGAGAAAGAACAUCUGUUUUUGUCGAGGUAUAGUUCUGUUAGAGGCCGAUGUAGCAACACGAUUAGACUUUGAUUAUACUUAAAGUCAGCCGGUGAUUGGUAACUCAGAGGAGCAAAGCGGUUAAUAACCCUAGUACUUUCGCCUAAAAAUUUCUAUUUUAUCAGGUUCUAGAACGAAUUCACUGCUUCAAAGGUCGCUAAACGUAAACGUAAACAUGACAUGAAACCUUGGUUACCGUAAGUCAACGCAUGAUACUUCUAGGAAAGUAGGUCUUGCAAACAAUCCCAAAAGUUGAAGAUUCAUUCUCUACUGGGCGCUGUCUGUUCAAUUUUCUAAAGAAAAAAAUGGAAGCCAUCAGACAAAAAUUGAAUGAGGCAGAUGACAUCGCCGAGGUUAUCGAUUCAAUGCAGAAUUUGAGCAUUCCAAUUUAAUAAAGGAUGGAAAAAUAUCGAGGACAUGAAAGAAAGGAUGCUCACUCAUCUGAGCUCUCAAAAUGAGUGUAUGUGAGGUCUGACAGUAAUAAUUUAUGCAUCUUAGCCACUGAACAUCAGGUGAGUUCUUGCUUGAUGGACGUUCAAGCAUCUCGUUAACGUUUUUAUACUCUGAAUUAUGAAAGCAUAGUUAGUAUAUGUGGUGAACAGCACUCAAUCUUUAACCGAAGGUCGGCGCAGCUGCAUUUGGUCAGGAAAUACGUUCUUAUUUUCCCUGUGGCUUUUUUUGGGUUUAUCGUAUUAGGCAGGUGCUCGUUUGCCUUGUCUAACUGUUGUAAACUAUGCUUCGAUCGCCCUUGUUAUAUACAGCUGCUUACUUGAGCUUGUAUUUCUGCACUGACACGGACGGCAGUAAACGCUCAGUUCGAGCUGCAAACCCAUUAAUUUUUCGUUUUUCAGGUGCAAAUAGGAAUAUAGAAUGUAACUGAUAUCCUACCAACUUACACUCGGCGCUGCAUUUUUAACAAGCAAAAAAACAACUUUCUUGAAUUAAGUGUAAAUUGCCCAGCGGAGAUAUUAGCUCUUUCCUCUUCUUGCCUAAAUGUAACAAUAAGUCUAAAUAUACUAAUUUGCUCUUUUAAUCCAUUAAAUAUUUACACAUGUUUCAGGCCUUUAAGGUGAUUUCAGAGGCAUAAUGAACAUGGAAAAGUCAUCAGCCCUUCCUGAUUAUUACGCUGAGGUGGAGAGGGAAAUACAGGGUCUUGACGCUACCUUUGUUGAUUAGCUGAAAACAAGCGAGGGCGACGUCCUCUCUAAAAUUAAGACAAGAAUAAAAAGAAUGUGAGACAGAGAUUA